rnacentral:rRNA from 1 species
CGCGAAGAACCUUACCUGGGUUUGACAUACACCAGAAAGCCGUAGAGAUACGGCCCCCCUUGUGGUUGGUGUACAGGUGGUGCAUGGCUGUCGUCAGCUCGUGUCGUGAGAUGUUGGGUUAAGUCCCGCAACGAGCGCAACCCUUGUCCUGUAUUGCCAGCGGGUUAUGCCGGGGACUUGCAGGAGACUGCCGGGGUCAACUCGGAGGAAGGUGGGGAUGACGUCAAGUCAUCAUGCCCCUUAUGUCCAGGGCUUCACACAUGCUACAAUGGCGCGUACAGAGGGCUGCGAGACCGUGAGGUGGAGCGAAUCCCUUAAAGCGCGUCUCAGUUCGGAUUGGGGUCUGCAACUCGACCCCAUGAAGUCGGAGUCGCUAGUAAUCGCAGAUCAGCAACGCUGCGGUGAAUACGUUCCCGGGCCUUGUACACACCGCCCGUCACGUCAUGAAAGUCGGUAACACCCGAAGCCGGUGGCCUAACCCUUGUGGAGGGAGCUGUCGAAGGUGGGAUCGGCGAUUGGGACGAAGUCGUAACAAGGUA